rnacentral:rRNA from 1 species
UACAGAGGUCCCAAGCGUUGUUCGGAUUCACUGGGCGUAAAGGGUGCGUAGGCGGUCGGGUAAGUCUGAUGUGAAAUCUCACAGCUUAACUGUGAAACUGCAUUGGAUACUAUUCGGCUUGAGAGUUGGAGGGGGGACUGGAAUUCUUGGUGUAGCAGUGAAAUGCGUAGAUAUCCUAAGGAACACCGGUGGCGAAAGCGGCUCACUGGGUCUCUUCUGACGCUGAGGCACGAAAGCUAGGGUAGCGAACGGG